UCUGUUCUGCUAAUAUAUUUACUGGCUGUGAACCCUGGACAAGUACCUGAUACCUGGUUUCCUUAUGUAUAAAGUGAAAAAAAUAUCUAAAAAAAAUGAGGAUAAAAACGAAUUUGAAACCCUAGUACCUAGGAGUUCCUGUUGUUGCUCAGCAGUAACAAACCUGACUAGCAUCCAUGAGGAUAUGGGCUCGAUCCCUGGCCCUGCUCAGUGGGUUAAGGAUCCGGCACUGCCGUGAGCCAUGGUGUAGGUUGCAGACGAGGUUCACAUCUGGCAUGGCUAUGGCUGUGGCGUAGCCCAGCAGCUGCAGCUCAGAUUUGAGCCCUAGCCUGGGAACUUCCAUAUGCCCCAGGUGUGGCCCUUAAAAUAAAAAAUUAAAUUUAAAAAUUGAAACCAUACAAUCUAAAGCAAAAAGGCAGGCUCGGAGUCUCCUGGUGGCCUAGUGGUUGAGGAUUCAGCAUUAUCACUGCUAUGGCUCAGGUUCGAUUCCAGGCCAAGAAAUUUCCAUGUGCUGUGGGCAUAGCCCCCCCAAAAAAAAAAGCAAAGCUGGCUUGCAACCCGUAUUAGUAUUAGUCAGUUGGUCACAGCAUAUCCCAUGCAGACUCCAUGACUCCACCCCUCCACCCCAAUUCCCAGCUCCUAUCAGCCGUGGAUGGGUUCAGAACCCAGAACCUGCCCUAAGACUGAACAUCUAAGAGAGACCCUGGAGAACAUCUAUCCCAUUGGCUUCCCAAUGUACAGGAGCCUAAAGAAGUGAAAGACGAAAGAGGAGCAAAAAGGGAGAAAGAGCAUUUCAAGGUUAGGCAGGUGGAUAGGUGAGCAAGCUGGAUGCAUGGUGGGGUAGCUCUAGAUGUUUGCUGGGGAAUUAGCUGUUUUUCACUUAGUAGCUACAUUAAUGUUAGUAAGGAGGGGAAUAAAUUAUAUAUGGUUCCUGGGAAAACUCAACAUGGAUGCUUUUCGUAAGAAUCUUUUUGUAAAUACUUGAAAACUGAGAGCAUACAAAUUAAAUUCAUGGGAACAACCAUCAGUUAUAGCUACCAGGAGUACAUUAUUAGGGAUGCUAUUAAUAUCAAAAUUAAGUCUGUACUUUAUUUACAAUCAAAACUAGUCAUGGAGUUCCCGUCGUGGCACAGCAGAAACAAAUCCGACUAGGAACCAUGAGGUCUUGGGUUCAAUCCCUGGCCUCGCUCAGUGAGUUAAGGAUCCAGCGUUGCCAUGAGCUAUGGUGUAGGUCGCAGAUGCAGCUUGGAACCAAUGUUGCCGUGGCUGUGGAGUAGGCUGGCAGCUACACCUCCAAUUCAACCCCUAGCCUAUGAACCUCCAUAUGCUACGGUGCGGCCCUAAAAAGACAAAAGACCGAAAAAAAAGAUGGCGAAGAAGCUAUGCUUAUCUACCUAGACUAUCAAUUACCCAAAUAAUUUUCAUCUCCAGAUCCUACUUUCCUCUUACUUUCAAGAGGACUUCUGGAUAUAGCCUAAAUGGCCUAGAGGCACCACAAACUUAACAAGUCCCCAUAAGAACUCACUAUUUCCUUCUCCUUAACAAACCUCUUCUGCCUACAAUGUUUCUUCUCUGAUAAUGACACCACCAUCUUCCCAGGCUGCCAAGCUAGAAGCCUUGGAAUAACCACCAUGUCCACAGCACACCACCAAGAAACCCCUCUCAAGUCCAAAUCCCGCCUCUCCCAGCCUCUUUCAGAUCUCAUCGUCCUGGAGUUCCCGUCGUGGCGCAGUGGUUAACGAAUCCGACUAGGAACCAUGAGGUUGCGGGUUCGGUCCCUGCCCUUGCUCAGUGGGUUAACGAUCCGGCGUUGCCGUGAGCUGUGGUGUAGGUUGCAGA
rnacentral:lncRNA from 1 species